rnacentral:lncRNA from 1 species
AUGCACUGGCCAUGUUACCCGCCCCCUCUCUCCCUAACACACACACACACACACACACACACACACACACAGUCAGUGGACAAACAGGCAGUCUCACAAGUCCCCACGCACCCAAGCGCAGGGCAGCAGCCCCGACCCAAGGGGGGGUCCCACGCCAGAGACGCGUCCUGCACCGCCGCCCCCCCCGCCCCCGGGGGUCACCUCCCCGCCCCCGGGGCCGCCCCCCCCCCCCGCCCCCGGCGGUCACCUCCCGGCCCCCGGGGCCGCCCCCCUCGCCCCCGGGGGCUACCCCCGCCCCCGGGGCCGCCGCCCCGCCGCGCACCCCUCCGGCCCCGCGCGGCCGCCGCAGCCCCCCGCCCCCCGGCCCGCGGGCUCCCGGGUCCGGCCCCGCGCGCCCCCGCACCUACCGCCGCCCGAGGCGAGGGAGCCAGGCGCCCGGCACGGCGGAGCGGCCACCCCCAGCCGCGGAGCCGCGCUAGUGCCGCCGCCGCGCUCCCAGCGCUGCCUGCGCCCGCCCCGCCGCCCCCUCGGGUGCCGGCUCCAGCCCCCGCGCGGGAGGCCGGCGGAUGGGCGGCGGGCGCGGGGCUGCGGCGGCGGGACCCCGGCCCCCGCUCACCUGCGCGCGCCGCGCAUCGUCCUCCUCCCGGGCCGGCGGGGCCGGGCUGCGCGCGCUCCACGCCCCCUGCCCCGGCGGGUGCCCCCGAGGGUGCCCCGGAGGGCGGCCCGGGCGCGGCGGCGGCGCUGCCGGGACCUCGCCCUCGCCCUCGCCCUCGGGGCUGGCCGCGGCCGCCUCCCCUGCGCGAGCGCUGCCCCGGCCCGCGCCGGCUCCUGGGUGACCUUGGGCAAGUUGGGCAACCUCUCGGAGCGCCCCGCGUCCCCUCCGGGAAGACCGCAAAUCCAGGAGCCGGAGGCGCUGGUGGUGGCCGAGCCGGGAGGUCCCACCCCUGCAGAGCUCACUUCCUCCUCGGGCCUCUGGCUCUGCCCGGGGCCGGCCCGCGUGGGAGCGGGGUUCGGGGCCAGCUCCCUGCUCCCUGGGACGGGCGGCGCCCAAGGUUUCCAGAGGCAGCGCUCGGCGGGCCUGACAUCCUGGGGUCCUGCGGGUCCCGGUUAGCCCGCUCUGGCUUCCUGGGCUGCAGGUUCCUUGGUCUCCCAGCUCCGCCCACCGGGGACCUCGAGCGCCGGGUUAGACCCGGGGCCAGCCUCUGCGCUCCCAUCUGUACAAUGGGGACGAGAAAGGCACAGGCUGUGUUGAGCCUUCCCGAGUUCCUGGCUGUCACUUAG